rnacentral:rRNA from 1 species
AAAACUCCCUAAACCCUAUGCAAACCUACCAAAGUUGCUUCGGCGGCCUAAAUCGCCCCGGGCGCCCCAGCGCGCCCCGGACCCAGGCGACCGCCGGAGGCCCCAAACUCCUGAAUUACAGUGGAUUUUUCUGAGUGGCAUAAGCAAAUAAAUCAAAACUUUCAGCAACGGAUCUCUUGGUUCUGGCAUCGAUGAAGAACGCAGCAAAAUGCGAUAAGUAAUGUGAAUUGCAGAAUUCAGUGAAUCAUCGAAUCUUUGAACGCACAUUGCGCCCGCCAGUAUUCUGGCGGGCAUGCCUGUCUGAGCGUCAUUUCAACCCUCGGGACCCCGUUCGCGGGACCCGGCGUUGGGGAUCAGCCCGAAGGCCCACUGCGGCCCGGCGGCUGGCCCCUAAAUCUAGUGGCGGUCUCCCCUGCGACCUCCUCUGCGUAGUAGUAACUCACCUCGCAGCUGGACAGCGGGAAGGCCACGCCGUAAAACCCCCAACUCUUACAAGGUUGACCUCAGAUCAGGUAGGAAUACCCGCUGAACUUAAGCAUAUCAAUAAGCGGAGGAAAAGAAACCAACAGGGAUUGCCCUAGUAACGGCGAGUGAAGCGGCAACAGCUCAAAUUUGAAAUCUGGCCUCACGGUCCGAGUUGUAAUUUGUAGAGGAUGCUUCUGGCGACGUGCCUUCCGAGUUCCCUGGAACGGGACGCCAUAGAGGGUGAGAGCCCCGUCCGGUCGUGCGCCUAGCCUCUGUGAAGCUCCUUCGACGAGUCGAGUAGUUUGGGAAUGCUGCUCUAAAUGGGAGGUAUACGUCUUCUAAAGCUAAAUACCGGCCAGAGACCGAUAGCGCACAAGUAGAGUGAUCGAAAGAUGAAAAGCACUUUGAAAAGAGGGUUAAAUAGUACGUGAAAUUGCUGAAAGGGAAGCGCUUAUGACCAGACUUGGGCUCGGUGAAUCAUCCGGCGUUCUCGCCGGUGCACUUUGCCGUCCCAGGCCAGCAUCAGUUCGCGCCGGGGGAUAAAGGUUUCGGGAAUGUAGCUCCCUCGGGAGUGUUAUAGCCCGUUGCGUAAUACCCUGGC